AGGACGAACGCUGGCGGCGUGCUUAACACAUGCAAGUCGAGCGGAAAGGCCAUUUCGGUGGUACUCGAGCGGCGAACGGGUGAGUAACACGUGAGUAAUCUGCCCCUGGCUUUGGGAUAGCCACCGGAAACGGUGAUUAAUACCGGAUACGACCCGCCCUCGCAUGGGGGUGUGUGGAAAGUUUUUCGGCCAGGGAUGUGCUCGCGGCCUAUCAGCUUGAUGGUGGGGUAAUGGCUCACCAUGGCUUCGACGGGUAGCCGGCCU
rnacentral:rRNA from 1 species